UUUUUAAAUUGCGGUAGUAUUUUGACUAUACAAAGGUAUUGAAAUAAGACUUUAAUUGAGUGCUAAGAGAAUGGAAAUACAGAAAAAUUCUUUCUUGAAUUCAAAAAUUGAAGUUAUUUUUAUAUGUGAAGAAACAAUAAUGAAAAUUAUUGACAAGAAGACCCUAAGAAUUUUUUUAAUUUAAUUAAAAAAUUUUUUAAUUAAAUUCUUUAAUUGGGGCGAUUAAUAAAAAUUAAAAACUUUGUUUUUUUAAAAAAGAACCAAUAAUAUUGGAAAUAUGAUAAAAAUACUCUAGGGAUAACAGCGUAAUAACUUUAGAUAGUUCAUAUAGACAAAGUAGUUUGCGACCUCGAUGUUGGAUUAGGAUACUUUUUUAAUGAAGAAGUUAAAAAAAGAAG
rnacentral:rRNA from 1 species